GGGGAGGCAGCUAGCUUCAUGGCUGGACUUGCUCAACACAAGGUUUUGCAGCCUGAUCCCUAUCCUUUUAAGUUUGCUGCCAAGGAUGAGAUUUUAAAACUCUGUUUUUUAAGGACCAGGUGGCAACCCUACUUCAGGUAUACAGGACCCACACUUUGAAUUGUGCUCGCAGAUGUACUGGGAGCCACCGUAGAUCCUUUAGGACCGGUGUUCUAUGGUCCCGGUGGCAUUCCAGCAUCUUAAUUUUUUUUUUAUUCCCCCCCCCCCUUUGCACUGCUUUCCCCCUGCUGGCUGGGAAAAGAGUCUCCCCACCUGUCAACGCAACUAAGAUGGCUCUCUGCUGCGUGCCCAGGGAAGGACGGCCCUUGCCUGCUGCAGAGGACACCUCGUGUGUAAAGAGAGGGAUUCUGAUUGGGAAGCAGGGCAAGAAGAAGCAGGCAGCUUCUGGGAUGCUGAUUCCUGGACGUCCUUGCAGCUGUGUGGAUGCAGGAAUGAGUGGGCAGGAGCCCUGGUCCAUUUGUGGGAAAGAAAUAAAGCUGCCAUUCAGGGAUAUCUUUAUCAGCACCACCUACAAUGUCACAGUGGAGUGAAUAAGAUUUGGGAAUACCCAGAAAUGUUACUCAGAGUAAACUGGAGGGGAGGCACAGUAACAGGGUGGGGUGCAGUGGGGAGGGAAAGCGGGAAUGAUGGAAAAGCUCAAAAUUGAUGCAGGACUGCAGGAGCUAUCUUGCAGACUUAAGAUGAGUAUCAUUUUACAGUGGUACCUCGGGUUAAGAACUUACUGGUAAUUCGUUCUGGAGGUCCGUUCUUAAUCUGAAACUGUUGUUAACCUGAGGUACCACUUUAGCUAAUGGAGCCUCCCAUUGCCGCCGUGCGAUUUCUGUUCUUAUCCUGAGGUAGAGCUCUUAACCUGAGGUACUAUUUCUGGGUUACCGGAGUCUGUAACCUGAAGCGUCUGUAACCUGAAGUGUCUGUAACCCGAGGUACCACUGAACUUAAAAUUAGUAUCAUUUUAUGGAACUCAAUGUGAAAUACAAUACAAUAAAAUACAAUAUAUAAGAAACAAAGGUAGCAAUUUGGGCACCAUUUGGGGGGAAAUGGUUGUUUCCAGUCCUGAUCGGGAGGCUGUCUUCUACUUGGAAAUAAAUCCCAGCGGUUCCAUGCGGUUUACUCAGAAGUAAAACGUGCAUGGAUUGAACCUCAGAUUGCUCCAUC